rnacentral:rRNA from 1 species
AAACUCAAAGGAAUUGACGGGGACCCGCACAAGCGGUGGAUUAUGUGGUUUAAUUCGAUGCAACGCGAAGAACCUUACCUGGACUUGACAUGUUAGUGAAACUUUGGUGAAAGCCAAAGCCUCUGCGAGCUUGCUCAAGGACACUAUCACAGGUGAUGCAUGGCUGUCGUCAGCUCGUGUCGUGAGAUGUUCGGUUAAGUCCGAUAACGAGCGCAACCCCUAUCCUUAGUUGCCAGCACGUAAUGGUGGGGACUCUAGGGAAACUGCCCGGGAUAACCGGAAGGAAGGUGGGGUCGACGUCAAGUCAGUAUGUCCCUUACGUUCAGGGCUACACACGUAAUACAAUGGGGAGUACAGAGGGUAGCAAUACUGCGAAGUGGAGCCAAUCCCAAAAAACUUCCCCAAGUUCGGAUUGCAGUCUGCAACUCGACUGCAUGAAGCAGGAAUCGCUAGUAAUCGCGCAUCAGCAUGGCGCGGUGAAUACGUUCCCGGGUCUUGUACACACCGCCCGUCACACCAUGGAAGCCGGUAGCACCCAAUGUCAGUGUCCUAACCUUCGGGGAGGAGCUGCUUAAGGUGAGAUUGGUAACUGGGGUGAAGUCGUAACAAGGUAACC